rnacentral:lncRNA from 1 species
AGCAAGGCAAAGGCUGAGAUGCGUCCAGCUGUGACACGGUAUGCGCCAGUCACAGCCCAGGCUGGGCGUCAGAGAAUGGGUGUAUAUUGGAGAUCAAGUCUACUAGAUCAUGUUUGUAUCCAUGAAAAAUUAAGAGAAAAGGAGCCACAUUUUGAGUUUUAUUAG